rnacentral:rRNA from 1 species
AGUGAACGCUGGCGGUAGGCCUAACACAUGCAAGUCGAACGGCAGCACAGUAAGAGCUUGCUCUUACGGGUGGCGAGUGGCGGACGGGUGAGGAAUACAUCGGAAUCUACUUUUUCGUGGGGGAUAACGUAGGGAAACUUACGCUAAUACCGCAUACGACCUACGGGUGAAAGCAGGGGAUCUUCGGGCCUUGCGCGAUUGAAUGAGCCGAUGUCGGAUUAGCUAGUUGGCGGGGUAAAGGCCCACCAAGGCGACGAUCCGUAGCUGGUCUGAGAGGAUGAUCAGCCACACUGGAACUGAGACACGGUCCAGACUCCUACGGGAGGCAGCAGUGGCGAAUAUUGGACAAUGGGCGCAAGCCUGAUCCAGCCAUACCGCGUGGGUGAAGAAGGCCUUCGGGUUGUAAAGCCCUUUUGUUGGGAAAGAAAAGCAGCAGGUUAAUACCCCGCUGUUCUGACGGUACCCAAAGAAUAAGCACCGGCUAACUUCGUG